GCGGGUGUGGUGUAUGGUUCACCGCUGUCUCGGAUAAUAAGUUUUCCAUCCAUUAGAAUGAAACAGCAGGUCCGGGUUCGAGUCCCGGCACCCGCA